ACUCACUCUUCUCUCUCUUGCUGCCUUGUGAAGAAGGUGACUGCUUCCCCUUCUGCCAUGAUUAUGAGUUUCCUGAGGCCUCCCCAGCCAUGCGGAACUGCAGCUCACUAUGAGGCUAUCACAAAUCAAUGGAAGCACAUUUGGUGAAGAGUACAGGCCCAUCAGAGGAUACCACUGAAUCCAUGCUCCACAGCAGUUCCCAGCAAGCUGCACUCUUCGAAGGCGGGAUGCUGAAACCUCUGCCCCCACCCCCUACAUUAGCUUUAUAUCCAAAUGUGACUCGGAGGCUGGUGAGCUCAAGGUGAUCAAUGACAGCUCCAAUCAAAGCCACCCAGUAGACAGUGCACUCACCACUCCUUGAUAUAAAAGGUGUUUUAUUUCUCAUCCUUUUAUUUUUGUCACUGAAAGAAUGCUUCCCAUGUGUGGAUUAAUUAAAGUGUAAACAUUAAAUAUUGAUUGAUGCAUUAUCAGCAUGGAGCAGUGGCCUCCUGUCUGAUUGAUUCCUGCAGUGA
ensembl:lncRNA novel transcript